GGUUGAUCCUGCCAGUAGUCAUA
rnacentral:rRNA from 3 species